rnacentral:rRNA from 1 species
GACGAACGCUGGCGGCGUGCCUAAUACAUGCAAGUUGAGCGCUGAAGGUUGGUACUUGUACCGACUGGAUGAGCAGCGAACGGGUGAGUAACGCGUGGGGAAUCUGCCUUUGAGCGGGGGACAACAUUUGGAAACGAAUGCUAAUACCGCAUAAAAACUUUAAACACAAGUUUUAAGUUUGAAAGAUGCAAUUGCAUCACUCAAAGAUGAUCCCGCGUUGUAUUAGCUAGUUGGUGAGGUAAAGGCUCACCAAGGCGAUGAUACAUAGCCGACCUGAGAGGGUGAUGGGCCAGAUUGGGACUGAGACACGGCCCAAACUCAUACGGGAGGCAGCAGUAGGGAAUCUUCGGCAAUGGACGAAAGUCUGAACGAGCAACGCCGCGUGAGUGAAGAAGGUUUUCGGAUCGUAAAACUCUGUUGGUAGAGAAGAACGUUGGUGAGAGUGGAAAGCUCAUCAAGUGACGGUAACUACCCAGAAAGGGACGGCUAACUACGUG